rnacentral:rRNA from 1 species
AGCGUGCUUAACUGCGAGACCGACAAGUCGAGCAGGUGCGAAAGCAUGUCAUAGUGAUCCGGUGGUUCUGUAUGGAAGGGCCAUCGCUCAACGGAUAAAAGGUACUCUGGGGAUAACAGGCUGAUACCGCCCAAGAGUUCAUAUCGACGGCGGUGUUUGGCACCUCGAUGUCGGCUCAUCUCAUCCUGGGGCUGUAGCCGGUCCCAAGGGUAUGGCUGUUCGCCAUUUAAAGAGGUACGUGAGCUGGGUUUAAAACGUCGUGAGACAGUUUGGUCCCUAUCUGCCGUGGGCGUUGGAUAUUUGAAGGGGGCUGCUCCUAGUACGAGAGGACCGGAGUGGACGAACCUCUGGUGUACCGGUUGUGACGCCAGUCGCAUCGCCGGGUAGCUAUGUUCGGAAGAGAUAACCGCUGAAAGCAUCUAAGCGGGAAACUCGCCUUAAGAUGAGAUAUCCCUGGGGACUUGAUCCCCUUGAAGGGUCGUUCGAGACCAGGACGUUGAUAGGUCGGGUGUGUAAGCGCAGUAAUGCGUUCAGCUAACCGAUACUAAUUGCCCGUAAGGCUUGAUCCUAUAACA